CGACAGCCCAAUAAAGAAACGGAAGUAAUAGAAUUCAGUGCAACAGCAGUAUGGACGUGGAAGACGUGGCACAGAAGAAAAUGUGUCUUUGGAAGGCUGGGGGUUGAACACACACACACACACAAAAAGCAUUUUUGCUUGUUCAUCAAAGGUCCUGCAAUCACCUUAUGCCACUUAUUAAACAACAUUUGCAUCCUGGAAGUACCAUGAACCUUGGCAAUCUUGGCAAUAACCACUUUCCCAGUUUUGCAGAGAUUAAUUAUCUUAAAACUAAAAAUGUGUUUAUGUUUUUAUAAUUGACCUAUGUAAUGUAUUAAAGGUUUUGAAAGUCUGA